GCGCCCAUGGCCCAAUGGAUAGGGCAUCUGGCUUCGGACCAGAGGGUUGCAGGUUCGAGUCCUGCUGGGCGCG
rnacentral:tRNA from 1 species